CCCAGGAUGCUGGUGUCCUCUAUGGAGCUUUCUCAGCUCCCGCAGGGCUGGCCAUCGUCAGCCGGCCACCUGCCCUGUACUCACAUCAGUAAUCUGGCUCCAGUCCCUGGAGUUUCCAAGCUCCACCUUCAGGUCCUCAUAGGAUUUGGCGUUCUGCACAGAAAGUAAAUAACAAGUUAGACCCGGUUCUCAGCAGAGGAAAUGGAAGAACUUUUUCCUUCAGGAGUUGGAAGAAGGUUCCCCUCAGGAAUUUGACGGAAGACCUGACUAAAAAUAAGUAGUAGACCAUAAAACAGACGACCCACAAGGAAUGAUAUGGCCAUAGACCACCCUCACACAAUGGAAUCGGGCCAAUCAGGACUGGACAACGCAGAGUUAUCCAGCCAAUAAGGAAAACCUUCCAUUUUGAGGACCUGCCCUCUGCUUCUAUGUGCGACCAGUUCCAGAGAAUCCUGUGGAAGUCUGACUCCCUGUCCCUCAGGUGCCUGGCACUGAGCUUGCCUUCAGCAACUAUUGUCUGGCGAGAGACUGGAGCCGUCUGGUUCCCAGGGAGACUCGAUCCCAUUCCAAAGGAGAGACAGGUGCUUCUCAGCUCCCCUUUUGUGACAGCUCCGAAGUUUACCCGUGUGCCUCAUGUCCCCACCCCAGUCAGGAGCCCAGAGCCAGGGUAAAAGCGCGCACGGCAGAGGCGUGUCUGGGAAGGAGGACAGGGGGCACCCUGCCUCGGGCGGGCCCUCACCCACGGAGCCCACAUUGUGGAUUUUGCCCAGGCCUGACGUCUGAUUAGGUAGCGUCCACUUCUGGAAGAGCUGCUGAAAGACAGCUGACUCGGCCCCAUCGUUCUGCACCUCCACCUGUGUGUUCGGGGGGUACUGCUUCGCUUUGAUAAAGUUCUGGGAAGAGAAAGCGGUGGCUGGGUCUGUGUCCCUCUCUGAACCCCCAUAGCCCUCCAAUGCAAGUGACAGCCUGGCUCUAACCCCAACCAGACCCAACCACAAACCUACCCCAGGUCCCAAGCACAAACUAGAACCCAACCCCAGUCCCAGGGCUGACCCAAAGCUAAGGCCUGCUCUGGCCUCAACCCCAAAACCAAAUGAGACCUCAGUUCUGACCCUGACCCCUAGCUGCCAUCUCCAACCUUGAGCCCAAUCCCCAUUCUCACUCUGACCCCAAGCCAGCUAGGGUUAUUGACUCCAACCCCAGUAAUGACCCCAAACUCUGACUUAGCCCCAGCCUCCUGCUGACCCGAUCCCCUCUUGUAAAAAGGUCAGCUUCCAUUUCUCCCUCCUUUCUCUGAACUGAGCUUGAGGUGGGAGCUCACAUCCUGAGGAGGCCCCCAGGUUGCCUGUUGGUGGGCCCCUGGUAGCAGGCAGCGACCC